UAGUUCGGGGUACCCCUUCGUUCCGCAGCUAACGCAUUAGUACUCGCCUGGAAGUACGCUCGCAGAGUGAACUCAAAGGAAUUGACGGGACCCGCACAAGUAGCGGAGCAUGUGGUUUAAUUCGAAGCAACGCGAAGAACCUACCUAAGCUUGACAUCCCAAUGACAUCUCCUUAAUCGGAGAGUUCCCUUCGGGGACAUUGGUGACAGGUGGCGCAUGGUUGUCGUCAGCUCGUGUCGUGAGAUGUUGGGUUAAGUCCCGCAACGAGCGCAACCCUUGUCUUUAGUUGCCAUCAUUAAGUUGGGCACUCUAGAGAGACUGCCAGGGAUAACCUGGAGGAAGGUGGGGAUGACGUCAAAUCAUCAUGCCCCUUAUGCUUAGGGCUACACACGUGCUACAAUGGGUAGUACAGAGGGUUGCCAAGCCGUAAGGUGGAGCUAAUCCCUUAACGCUACUCUCAGUUCGGAUUGUAGGCUGAAACUCGCCUACAUGAAGCUGGAGUUACUAGUAAUCGCAGAUCAGAAUGCCGCGGUGAAUGCGUUCCCGGGUCUUGUACACACCGCCCGUCACACCACGGGAGUUGGAGACGCCCGAAGCCGAUUAUCUAACCUUUUGGAAGAAGUCGUCGAAGGUGGAAUCAAUAACACGGGGUGAAGU
rnacentral:rRNA from 1 species